UCAUGUAAUUUUGUACACAUAUCUUUCUUUCUUAAUUACGAGAUUGUGACAAUUUUGUUUUUUACUUGUUAAAAUGUAACAUUCUUUUAUCUUAAUUCAUACAUCAAAUAAAAUACGUUACAUGUUCAGUGGGUUGUUUGUAUAAAAGUUAAUCUGUUCUAUAAGUUGUAUGGGCUGUUUUGGAAGAUUAGGGGGCAAAGUGAAACAUGGGCUGUUGCUGUUAUAAAAAGGGAAAAGUUAAGUGCAUCUGGAUGAUUCUAACACGCCUGUUUCUCUCUUAUCCCACCUACCUAUCCUUCUUCAGUCUGUUACAAGUUGUUCAAGUAGCUGUUACAAGUCGCUGAUGAUGUUGAUGAUCCAGUGUGGAUCUUAUUUCAGUUGUUGAUCCUUCGUGUGGAUCUGUGGUUACUAUAGAUCCCAUGGAUCUCUGUUUUUGGUUGUGUUGUUCUUGUUAAUCAACUGAUAAUCAUCAGUUGAUUAUUUAUUAUUUCUUGUACUGUUUCUAUUUUGGAUCUUACAGUUUGUAAGGUCUUGGGAGGUUGGGUGUUUUUUCGGUUUGGGCAAAUAAUAAAGUUUUCGUCACCGGUUUUUGUCG
rnacentral:lncRNA from 1 species